GUCCACGCCUUAAACGAUGUAUGCUUGAUAUCGGAGAAAUUCGGUGUCGUAGGUAACCUGGUAAGCAUACCACCUGGGAAGUACGAUCGCAAGGUUGAAACUCAAAGGAAUUGACGGGGCCCGCACAAGCGGUGGAUCAUGUGGUUUAAUUCGAUGCAACGCGAAAACCUUACCUGGGCUUGAAGUACAAGUAGUAAAGAGAUGAAAGUCAAAUGAAUCGUAAAGCCGAUUGCUUGUAGAGGUGCUGCAUGGCUGUCGU
rnacentral:rRNA from 1 species